GCGUAUGCUUGGAUGAUUUUGAUUAGAUGCUUGACGAUUGUAGUGCUCUGUAGAGCUUUGACAAAUGAAGACUUCAUAGAACGUGUGGCUUGGCCCGAGCAUAUAAAUAGUGUUGGUGAGG
rnacentral:ribozyme from 1 species